GGCUGCUUACAGAUUGCAGUGCUCGAAUCUUGGUUUUGAGCUCAUCAUUUGAGGGGUUCUGGGGAGCACGGAACUUGCCAAGAACAUCACAUGGAAGAAUGCCUGUAAUCCUCAUAAACCCCUUAGAGGGAGGCGCUGUUAUCGAGAUUGUACGUAUGAGGAAACUGAGGCAGAGGCUUCAUCUGUGCCUCAUCCAGGAUCAUACAGUGGCAGAACCAGUAGCAACACCCCCACACUCAGAUUCUGCAGCCGCAACUCUGAACACCAGACCUGUUGUGUUGCCUGUGAGACACCCGCUGCAGAAGGCCUUGUAUAAUUCAGAAACUUGCCUAAUUUAAGACAAUCCCUGACAUGCCGCUCAGGUCCAAAGACCGGAGGACCAGAUGAGCUGAUGUCUGAAAGCUGCCAGGCUCAAGACCCCAGAGAAGCCCAUAUUUUGAGUCCGAAGUCCCGGAAAGACCUAUCUCCCAGCCCAGUCAGUCAGGUAAACUCCUUGGAUUCCUCUGUUGGACUCUGCCCAUCUCUUGGGAUGGUCUUCCAGUCUGGCAUCUCCACUCCCAACCUAGAUCCACUGCCUCCUCUCGGACUCCUGAGCACCCACCACCCACCUCCUUGAUGUCUGUCAAUACUGGGCUUGGCCCUGGCUUCAUCAGCUCUUACCGGGCAGG